rnacentral:rRNA from 1 species
UGGGGGAUAUUGCACAAUGGGCGAAAGCCUGAUGCAGCGACGCCGCGUGGGGGAUGAAGGCCUUCGGGUUGUAAACUUCUUUUGCUCUGAACAAGGCAUGCCUUUGGGGUGUGUUGAGUGUAGGGGUUGAUUAGCGCCGGCUAACUACGUGCCAGCAGCCGCGGUAAUACGUAGGGCGCAAGCGUUGUCCGGAAUUAUUGGGCGUAAAGGGCUUGUAGGUGGCUGGUUGCGUCUGUCGUGAAAGCUCAUGGCUUAACUGUGGGUUUGCGGUGGGUACUGGCUGGCUUGAGUGCAGUAGGGGAGGCUGGAAUUCCUGGUGUAGCGGUGGAAUGCGCAGAUAUCAGGAGGAAUACCGGUGGCGAAGGCGGGUCUCUGGGCUGUUACUGACGCUGAGGAGCGAAAGCGUGGGGAGCGAACAGG